AGCCUAGAAGUAUUUAGAUACAUUUAAUUUCGGCUUAAAAAAAGGUUGUAAAAGCCCUAGGUUA
rnacentral:tRNA from 1 species